GUUAUAUGGUCAAGCGAAUAAGCGCACACGGUGGAUGCCUUGGCGGUCAGAGGCGAUGAAGGACGUGGCAGCCUGCGAAAAGUAUCGGGGAGCUGGCAACAAGCUUUGAUCCGGUAAUGUCCGAAUGGGGAAACCCACCCGCUUGCGGGUAUCCUGCAGUGAAUACAUAGCUGCUGGAAGCGAACCUGGUGAACUGAAAUAUCUAAGUAACCAGAGGAAAAGAAAUCAACCGAGAUUCCGUAAGUAGCGACGAGCGAACGCGGACUAGCCCUUAAGCUGAUUUGGUUCUAGGAAAACGCUCUGGAAAGAGCGGCCAUAGAAGGUGAUAGCCCUGUAUCUGAAAGGGCCAUUUCAGUGAAGACGAGUAGGGCGGGGCACGUGAAACCCUGUCUGAACAUGGGGGGACCAUCCUCCAAGGCUAAAUACUACUGACCGACCGAUAGUGAACCAGUACCGUGAGGGAAAGGCGAAAAGAACCCCGGAGAGGGGAGUGAAAUAGAUCCUGAAACCGUGUGCGUACAAGCAGUAGGAGCCUCGCAAGGGGUGACUGCGUACCUUUUGUAUAAUGGGUCAGCGACUUACUGUUCGUGGCAAGCUUAACCGUAUAGGGGAGGCGAAGGGAAACCGAGUCUGAUAAGGGCGCAUAGUCGCGGGCAGUAGACCCGAAACCGGGUGAUCUAGUCAUGGCCAGGGUGAAGGUGCCGUAACAGGUACUGGAGGCCCGAACCCACGUCUGUUGCAAAAGACGGGGAUGAGCUGUGAUUAGGAGUGAAAAGCUAAUCGAACCCGGAGAUAGCUGGUUCUCCUCGAAAGCUAUUUAGGUAGCGCCUCAUAUGUAUCCUCUCGGGGGUAGAGCACUGUUAUGGCUAGGGGGUCAUCGCGACUUACCAAACCAUUGCAAACUCCGAAUACCGAGACGGACUGUAUGGGAGACACACGGCGGGUGCUAACGUCCGUCGUGAAAAGGGAAACAACCCAGACCCACAGCUAAGGUCCCAAAUUUUGUGCUAAGUGGAAAACCAUGUGGAAAGGCACAGACAGCCAGGAGGUUGGCUUAGAAGCAGCCACCCUUUAAAGAAAGCGUAAUAGCUCACUGGUCGAGUCGGUCUGCGGGGAAGAUUUAACGGGGCUAAGCACAGAACCGAAGCUUGGGGUGUGCAUAUUUAUAUGUACGCGGUAGAGGAGCGUUCCGUAAGCCGUUGAAGGUGGAUUGAGAAGUCUGCUGGAGGUAUCGGAAGUGCGAAUGCUGACAUGAGUAACGAUAAUGCGGGUGAAAAACCCGCACGCCGAAAGCCCAAGGUUUCCUUGCGCAACGUUAAUCGGCGCAGGGUGAGUCGGCCCCUAAGGCGAGGACGAAAGUCGUAGUCGAUGGGAAGCAGGUUAAUAUUCCUGCACCUCGCGUAAGUGCGAUGGAGGGACGGAGAAGGUUAGGCAUACCGGGCGUUGGUUGUCCCGGGGAAAGGCGGUAGGUUUGGAUCUUUGGCAAAUCCGGGAUCCUUCAAGACCGAGCACCGAGACUAGCCUUUAUGGCGAAGUUGCUGAUACCACGCUUCCAGGAAAAGCUCCUAAGCUUCAGCUUACGCAGACCGUACCGUAAACCGACACAGGUGGGUAGGAUGAGAAUUCUCAGGCGCUUGAGAGAACUCGGGUGAAGGAACUAGGCAACAUGGCACCGUAACUUCGGGAGAAGGUGCACCCUUUUUGGUGGCUCAUGCGAGCUAUAGCUGAAGAGGGUCGCAGUAACCAGGCCGCUGCGACUGUUUAUCAAAAACACAGCACUCUGCAAACACGAAAGUGGACGUAUAGGGUGUGACGCCUGCCCGGUGCUGGAAGGUUAAUUGAUGGGGUCAGCCGCAAGGCGAAGCUCUUGAUCGAAGCCCCAGUAAACGGCGGCCGUAACUAUAACGGUCCUAAGGUAGCGAAAUUCCUUGUCGGGUAAGUUCCGACCUGCACGAAUGGCGUAACGACAGCGGCGCUGUCUCCACCCGAGACUCAGUGAAAUUGAAAUCGCUGUGAAGAUGCAGCGUUCCCGUGGCAAGACGGAAAGACCCCGUGAACCUUUACUAUAGCUUUACACUGAACGUUGAGUUCGUCUGUGUAGGAUAGGUGGGAGGCUAUGAAACCAUGGCGCUAGCUGUGGCGGAGCCAUCCUUGAAAUACCACCCUGUCGUGCUUGACGUUCUAACCUGGGUCCAUUAUCUGGAUCGGGGACCGUGUAUGGUGGGUAGUUUGACUGGGGCGGUCUCCUCCUAAAGAGUAACGGAGGAGCUCGAAGGUACGCUCAGCGCGGUCGGACAUCGCGCACUGUGUGCAAAGGCAUAAGCGUGCUUGACUGCAAGAUCGACGGAUCAAGCAGGUAGGAAACUAGGACUUAGUGAUCCGGUGGUUCUGUAUGGAAGGGCCAUCGCUCAACGGAUAAAAGGUACUCCGGGGAUAACAGGCUGAUACCGCCCAAGAGUUCAUAUCGACGGCGGUGUUUGGCACCUCGAUGUCGGCUCAUCACAUCCUGGGGCUGUAGUCGGUCCCAAGGGUAUGGCUGUUCGCCAUUUAAAGUGGUACGCGAGCUGGGUUCAGAACGUCGUGAGACAGUUCGGUCCCUAUCUGCCAUGGGCGUUGGAGAUUUGAGAGGGGCUGCUCCUAGUACGAGAGGACCGGAGUGGACGAACCUCUGGUGUUCCGGUUGUCACGCCAGUGGCAUUGCCGGGUAGCUAUGUUCGGAAGCGAUAACCGCUGAAAGCAUCUAAGCGGGAAGCGCGCCUCAAGAUGAGAUCUCCCGGGGCACAAGCCCCCUGAAGGAACCAUGUAGACUACGUGGUUGAUAGGUCAGGUGUGUAAGUACAGCAAUGUAUUGAGCUAACUGAUACUAAUGAUCCGAGAGGCUUGACCAUAUAACCUCA
rnacentral:rRNA from 1 species